GUUAUAUGGUCAAGCGAAUAAGCGCACACGGUGGAUGCCUUGGCGGUCAGAGGCGAUGAAGGACGUGGCAGCCUGCGAAAAGUAUCGGGGAGCUGGCAACAAGCUUUGAUCCGGUAAUGUCCGAAUGGGGAAACCCACCCGCUUGCGGGUAUCCUGCAGUGAAUACAUAGCUGCUGGAAGCGAACCUGGUGAACUGAAAUAUCUAAGUAACCAGAGGAAAAGAAAUCAACCGAGAUUCCGUAAGUAGCGACGAGCGAACGCGGACUAGCCCUUAAGCUGAUUUGGUUCUAGGAAAAUGCUCUGGAAAGAGCAGCCAUAGAAGGUGAUAGCCCUGUAUCUGAAAGGGCCAUUUCAGUGAAGACGAGUAGGGCGGGGCACGUGAAACCCUGUCUGAACAUGGGGGGACCAUCCUCCAAGGCUAAAUACUACUGACCGACCGAUAGUGAACCAGUACCGUGAGGGAAAGGCGAAAAGAACCCCGGAGAGGGGAGUGAAAUAGAUCCUGAAACCGUGUGCGUACAAGCAGUAGGAGCUCCGCAAGGAGUGACUGCGUACCUUUUGUAUAAUGGGUCAGCGACUUACUGUUCGUGGCAAGCUUAACCGUAUAGGGGAGGCGAAGGGAAACCGAGUCUGAUAAGGGCGCAUAGUCGCGGGCAGUAGACCCGAAACCGGGUGAUCUAGUCAUGGCCAGGGUGAAGGUGCCGUAACAGGUACUGGAGGCCCGAACCCACGUCUGUUGCAAAAGACGGGGAUGAGCUGUGAUUAGGAGUGAAAAGCUAAUCGAACCCGGAGAUAGCUGGUUCUCCUCGAAAGCUAUUUAGGUAGCGCCUCAUAUGUAUCCUCUCGGGGGUAGAGCACUGUUAUGGCUAGGGGGUCAUCGCGACUUACCAAACCAUUGCAAACUCCGAAUACCGAGACGGACUGUAUGGGAGACACACGGCGGGUGCUAACGUCCGUCGUGAAAAGGGAAACAACCCAGACCCACAGCUAAGGUCCCAAAUUUUGUGCUAAGUGGAAAACCAUGUGGAAAGGCACAGACAGCCAGGAGGUUGGCUUAGAAGCAGCCACCCUUUAAAGAAAGCGUAAUAGCUCACUGGUCGAGUCGGUCUGCGGGGAAGAUUUAACGGGGCUAAGCACAAAACCGAAGCUUGGGGUGCAUAACUUUGUUAUGCGCGGUAGAGGAGCGUUCCGUAAGCCGUUGAAGGUGGAUUGAGAAGUCUGCUGGAGGUAUCGGAAGUGCGAAUGCUGACAUGAGUAACGAUAAUGCGGGUGAAAAACCCGCACGCCGAAAGCCCAAGGUUUCCUUGCGCAACGUUAAUCGGCGCAGGGUGAGUCGGCCCCUAAGGCGAGGACGAAAGUCGUAGUCGAUGGAAAGCAGGUUAAUAUUCCUGCACCUCGCGUAAGUGCGAUGGAGGGACGGAGAAGGUUAGGUGUACCAGGCGUUGGUUGUCCUGGGGAAAGGCGGUAGGUUUGGAUCUUUGGCAAAUCCGGGAUCCUUUAAGACCGAGCACCGAGACGAGUCUUUAUGACGAAGUCACUGAUACCACGCUUCCAGGAAAAGCUCCUAAGCUUCAGCUUACGCAGACCGUACCGUAAACCGACACAGGUGGGUAGGAUGAGAAUUCUCAGGCGCUUGAGAGAACUCGGGUGAAGGAACUAGGCAACAUGGCACCGUAACUUCGGGAGAAGGUGCACCCUUUUUGGUGGCUCGUGCGAGCUAUAGCUGAAGAGGGUCGCAGUAACCAGGCCGCUGCGACUGUUUAUCAAAAACACAGCACUCUGCAAACACGAAAGUGGACGUAUAGGGUGUGACGCCUGCCCGGUGCUGGAAGGUUAAUUGAUGGGGUCAGCCGCAAGGCGAAGCUCUUGAUCGAAGCCCCAGUAAACGGCGGCCGUAACUAUAACGGUCCUAAGGUAGCGAAAUUCCUUGUCGGGUAAGUUCCGACCUGCACGAAUGGCGUAACGACAGCGGCGCUGUCUCCACCCGAGACUCAGUGAAAUUGAAAUCGCUGUGAAGAUGCAGCGUUCCCGUGGCAAGACGGAAAGACCCCGUGAACCUUUACUAUAGCUUUACACUGAACGUUGAGUUCGUCUGUGUAGGAUAGGUGGGAGGCUAUGAAACUGUGGCGCUAGCUGCAGUGGAGCCAUCCUUGAAAUACCACCCUGUCGUGCUUGACGUUCUAACCUGGGCCCAUUAUCUGGGUCGGGGACCGUGUAUGGUGGGUAGUUUGACUGGGGCGGUCUCCUCCUAAAGAGUAACGGAGGAGCUCGAAGGUACGCUCAGCGCGGUCGGACAUCGCGCACUGUGUGCAAAGGCAUAAGCGUGCUUGACUGCAAGAUCGACGGAUCAAGCAGGUAGGAAACUAGGACUUAGUGAUCCGGUGGUUCUGUAUGGAAGGGCCAUCGCUCAACGGAUAAAAGGUACUCCGGGGAUAACAGGCUGAUACCGCCCAAGAGUUCAUAUCGACGGCGGUGUUUGGCACCUCGAUGUCGGCUCAUCACAUCCUGGGGCUGUAGUCGGUCCCAAGGGUAUGGCUGUUCGCCAUUUAAAGUGGUACGCGAGCUGGGUUCAGAACGUCGUGAGACAGUUCGGUCCCUAUCUGCCAUGGGCGUUGGAGAUUUGAGAGGGGCUGCUCCUAGUACGAGAGGACCGGAGUGGACGAACCUCUGGUGUUCCGGUUGUCACGCCAGUGGCAUUGCCGGGUAGCUAUGUUCGGAAGCGAUAACCGCUGAAAGCAUCUAAGCGGGAAGCGCGCCUCAAGAUGAGAUCUCCCGGGGCACAAGCCCCCUGAAGGAACCAUAUAGACUAUGUGGUUGAUAGGUCAGGUGUGUAAGUACAGCAAUGUAUUGAGCUAACUGAUACUAAUGAUCCGUGUGGCUUGACCAUAUAACCU
rnacentral:rRNA from 1 species